rnacentral:lncRNA from 1 species
UUUGUGUUUGCCAUAUGAUAGGAGAAAGGAGAAUAUGGCCUAAUUCUCCAUUUGGUUGCCCAGAAAAUGGUUGAAAUUUAGAAGAAAAACUAAAAUUUUAUUCUUGGGUGUUUUUAUUUGUGAUGUUGAAAGUUUUUGUUUCAUUGAACUGACGGGAACAGGAGGAUAUUGCCUAAUCCCCUGUUUGGUUGCCAAGAAAAUGGAGGGAAGUUUGAAGAAAAUAUAAAAUUUGC